AGAGACAGACAUUCAAAAAGCCGGAGCCUGAACUGAUUCAAUCUUUUCAGGUUACUUUAACCUGAGUAGAUUGAACCAGUUUACAACUGACCAGACAAUG